rnacentral:lncRNA from 1 species
GCUCUCUCUGUCCCCACAAGGAGUGGGCCUCCCUGAGGCUGCAGAAAGCAAAGCCCAGAGAUGGGAAUGGGAGAGAGAGAGGGAGAGAGCGAAUACUCCUGGUGUUCCUUGAACUCCCAGAUCCGGUUUGUUUCAUGAGUUAGUAGGUACCCACCCCAACUAGGGCUGCCAGAUAGGAAACAGGUUAGCCCAUUAAAAUUUGAGUUUCUGUCGGGGCGCCUGGGUGGCUCAGCCAGUUAAGCAUCUGACUUCAGCUCAGGUCAUGAUCUCGCAGUCUGUGAGUUCGGGCCCUGCAUCCGGCUCUGUGCUGACAGCUCAGAGCCUGGAGCCUGCUUCAAAUUCUGGGUCUCCCUCUCUCUCUGCCGCUCCCCCACUCAUGCUGUGUCUCUCUGUCUCUCUCUCUCUGUCAAAAAUAAACAUUAAAAAGAAAUUUAAAAUUUGAGUUUCUGGUAAACUAAGUAUUUUUUAGCAUAAGUGUGUCCCAUGCAAUAUUUGAGACCUAGCACAAAAAUUAUUUGUUUAUCUGAAAUUCACAUUUAACUGGGCAUCCUGUAUUUUUUUAAAGUGUUUAUUUUAACGAAUUUUUAUAAUUUAUUUUUGAGAGAGAUGGGGACAGAGUGUGAGCGGGGACUGGGCAGAGAGGGAGACACAGAAUCUGAAGCAGGCUCCAGGCUUCGAGCUGUCAGCACAGACCCUGACACGGGGCUCGAACCCACAAACCGUGAGAUCAUGACCUGGGCAUCCUGUAUUUUUAUUUGCAAUGUGCAACCCUAACCUCAACCCUCCUUUGGGUUUAAGCCAGGCUGGUUGGACUCAUGAGUCUUGCAGUUAAAGGGAUCUCAAUGAAAGCAGAUGGUGGGGAGGUGACUCAGCUUGCCUGGGGUCACAAGGCCAGCCAGCCAGUGAGCAGCUGGAUUAGAACACAGGUCUGUGACUCAGAAGCCUGUGAUUCCCACCCUCUUCACCCCGCCCCUGUCCAACAGCAUGGGAGAUGGCAGAGAACAGAUGAUCUGAAGCUCGUGCAAUAGAAGUGGGUCUGAACAGAAUGUGGACCAGGGAAGGGAAGAGAGAAGGGAAGGCGGACUCAUAGUUUUGUCGACUGACGGAGGGGACAUUCAUUUUUUAAUACUUUGUGCAGGCUCACUCCCCGGAUAUUUGUCAAGCCCCCUACCGGGUGCAAGGCACUGUGCUUGUUUCUCUGAUCCUUCCAGUGGGCUGAAUAGUAUCAUGGUUUAUCUUUCCCCCUUUGCAGAUGGGAGAGUGAGGCUCAGAGAGGCCACAGGUCUGGGAGCCGCAAGGAGCCCCGAGCUCCAUGCCCUACUCUGCCACCCACACAGCGGCCUGUCUGCUCCAGCGCUUGCUGUGAGUUCAGAUGCAACCUCCCAUCCCCUGCCUGAGCCAAGCAAUGAAACCGAAACUGGUAGUAAACGUUCAGUCUGUGUCUGCCCUUGGUGUGUCUGUUGUGACAUAUACCUGAUGCUUAAUCUUGUCCCCCUGCAUCAGGCCACACCCCUCCUUGCAUGUCCCCAGUGUGGUGCCCAGCCAUGUCUCCUUUCCGUGUUGUGGGGUAGAGGCUGCUGGGGAGGGGGACAGGAGCUCAGGGCCUCAGCGGUGCCGGUGCCGGAAGUUGGAUCCUGGCCUCUGGUGCCAUGGUGACGGUUACUAUAGAAACGCACAGGCUGCACUCAGCAGGACUACCAGGAUGUGAGCAGGUUUUCACAGACUGGAGCCAAUGGAGAGGGGGGGGGGUCUUGGUAGUGGUUAGAGACCCCCCCACACACACCCCAGAGUGAGGGCCAAGUCAUGUCUGGGGGCUGCCCCACUGUGUCUCCAUCUUUCUCUCCUGCCACUUCCCACUCAUCCCUUCUCCUUAUUCCAUGCGGUCUACAGUUUCAGUGGCUCUGGCUGCUGUUUUCUCAGUCUGGAACAACCCUUCUGGCUUCUUCACUUGGCUAAUUCCUCCUUACCCUCCAGGCCUCUUCCUGACGCUUUCUUCUGUUCCACAAAUAUUUACUGAGCAUCUAAUAAGAACGAGACACUGUUCUGGUCACUGGGGACCAAGGCAGACAAGGGCCCUACUCUCAUGGAGAUGCCAGUCUCCAUCAAAGAAGCAUGCAAGUAAAUGAAUGAGAAUACAUUCAGACGGAGCCCCGGAGAGAACAAAAGGAAGGUGAUGAGGCAGGAAGUACUGGGUUGUGGGGAUUGGAGGCCAGGGAAGGUAUGUCUAAGGAGCGACAUCUGUCCUCCCUGAGCCCUCUGGUUCUCCUCACUUGCGUGGUCUGGUCCCUGAGUCACAGGGACCAGAUAUAAUGUCACUGCCUGCCUUCCACCCUAAAGUACUUUUUUCCUUGAAGGCAGGAGCAAAGUGUCAUCUGUCUCUGUAUCCCCAGUGCCGGUGCAUAGCAGGGACUUGGUAAGGCAUACGCAUUUACUGAGUGUGACCCACGGGUCGGGCAAUGUCACACAUAGCUGACGUGCCCCCUUUAUAUUGGUUCCAUGACAUAACUGUGAUUCGAUCACAUUUGAUUGCUUUAGAGAUUCAGGAACCAACCUCGGCCAGGUUUAGUCGUUAGCUUCAAGUCUGCUGGCUAGUGCUUAGUAGGGCUGAGAUCCAAACCCAGUCUGGCCCUCCAUGCUCCUUUUGUGCAUCGUGAUGACAGCUUAAUGGAGAUACGAUUCACAUAGUAUACACUCCACCUUUUUAAAGCAUACAGGUUAGUGGUUUAUUCAUAGAGUUGUGCGUCAACUGAGUUCCUCCAGCCAGGGCCUUCAACCUCAGCCUCAUAGGAGGACCUGAAGUUCAGAAGUUGGGUGCAGAUUAUAGACUUAGAACCCAGGAGUCCUGUGUGGGCUGGCUGCAUUUCUUUUGGCAUAUCAAUAUUGAGAUUUUGCUUAGUGGCAUUUUAAAUGGAUACGCUUGGCCUCUCUGAAUUAAGACCCCGAUUCUUCACUGGAAAUCUCAAAACAACCUACGGACAAAUAAGUUGAAUUCCAGGAGAGCCUUCAGAGUGCUUUCCUAGCUGAAGCACGGGGCAUGCGGUCCAUGCAGCCACUCAGAAUGUCUGGAAUUCACCAGGCUGCGUUUUUAAAGCCCGAGGCUUCGUGGAAGCCUGACUCGAUGGCAUGUGCUGGCACAGAAGGGGCUUCAGCCAGAGGGGGCCAGGAGCUCUUUGCACCCCAGGACCACUCUGGCCUCCCCUUCAUGAGGAACCUGUCGUGUUCAAUUUAACCUGUUUGCCCGGUUCACUUAGCCCCAGUACCAGUGAGUGGAGUAGGUGAUCGGUCAGUUUAUUCUUUUCCUAGUGGGAUGGGCUCCAUCAUCCCACAUUUUCACCUCCUUCCCCCACCCGCCAUUUAGCGAAUCACAUGUGGCCUGAAUCUCACCUCUGUAGUUAUUAAAGUAUUGAAGGGGAAUGGGUAUAACUUUUUUCCCAGCCUGGUGCACAAAAGAGGUCACUUGGCUUUUCACCAUGAACGUCAAAGCCCUCCGUUGCCCAACCGAGCAGAAUGUUCAGACUCUCUCCAGCCCCAUCCCUCCCUCAGAACUCAAGUUCUUCGUCAGUCUCUAGGGGUCGGGCUGCAGUCCAAGAUGGGGGGAGGUGAGCCCUGGAGGACCUCCUCAGUUCUUGCAUCAUCUUGCUCGUGGCCUGCUCUGCGUCUCUGUCCGUACUCGGAGACAGGGACCAAACUUGGCCAGUUGAAGCCGAAAAAUAUUUCUUAAAGAUUGUUUGUUGUGUAGCCUUGAGAGUUGUUCAGAGGCCGGACACUCGGGCUUGGAGAUCACACAUCUAGGAGCAACUUCCCAAACGGCACAACUGUUCCCCUGUUGGGCACGGACACUGCCACCAGCACCACCAACACCAGCAGGGCUGGACCCUGGAAUGGGGGGAUGAUGCUGUCUGAAACCCGAUUCACCUCACGGCCGCCGUCCUUGCCAGAAUGGAUUCUAUGCAGUCCCUGCUUCUCAGUAGUGGCCACGUUCGUGUCCUAAGAGGGCAUGUGUGAUAGGAGAAACCAGGUUUACAUGCUGUCUCUCUGGGUACAAAGGAGACUGACUGGAAAGUGAAUUUGGACUUUUGUAAUGGGAAGUGGCCUACCAGGUAGACUCAUGAGGUGGAGAGUUCUCCCCCAGAUGAGCAGCCCAAACAAGUAACCGGUUACCGACCGAUCGUAGGCCAAUUUGCCCAUCUCUGCCCUGUACUUCUGUGCCACGGGAUUUGGAGAGGGCCAUCCAUUGGCCCCCCAAGUAAAUCCUUCUUUCCCCUUCUCUCAAGCCAAUGGGUAUCUGCUUGGCUGGCAUUUCUAUAACUAAGAUGAGCCCCAGAAUAAAGAAGCCCGCUCCAAGAUGACCAUAAACCCACAUGGACCCAAGUGGGAAGAACUGUUCCCCAAAGGAAAUCAGAGUGCUGUUUCCAAAAGAAGAGAUUCUGGGCAGGAACGACGACUCAUACUCACCACAACUGGGAAAUUGCACAGAAUUGUAUUUUAUUUUAUUUAAACUUAAACUUAAUUUUAUUUUAAUAUAUAGAGACCUAAGUCCCAAAGGUAGAAUUUCUGGCUCAGAGGUCGUGUGUAUUUUAAAUCUGAACAGACAUUGCCAGUAUUUCCAAAAAGCUUCAUAGUAAUUCUCAUCCCUUCCAGUAACGUAUGAGCAUAUCUUUUUCCUGUUCUUCCCAGCCCUGAAGUUUUUCUUUUUGCCAAGCUGAGAAAAGUGAUGCGUCCUUGCUGGAUUCUGUAUGCUCCAGUGACAGCAUCUGUGUGUCUCCGCACUUUUGUAUUUGUUAUAUACCUCGUUUCCCCACCUGGAUGUCCUUUUUCUCCUCCCCAGCCUGCUGAGCUCCUACUUGGCUUUCAAAACCCAGCCACAAGGCCCUGUACUUGGGAGGCUUCCCUAAUCCUCCACAGUCAGCUUGCCUUCCUCCCUACUGCCUGCUCUCUCUGUGUUCCCCCCUGCCAGCCCCAUCGCAGGGCAGUAACAGGAUUUGGGUCUCUGGAAGUCUUCCCCAUAGCACUGUAAGCCGCUAGAAGAGAAGGAUCCAGUUUUCUCUGGAUCCCCUCUGCCUGAACUGUGCCUGGUGCAGAGCAGCGGCCCAGGGAAUGUUCAUUUGUUAAAUGCCAUUAUAACAAAGCCUUUUCACAAAUGUUUGUGGGGUGAGGGAAGGAAUCUUGUAAAAGGAUACUGGUGCUUGUAGCUGUCCAGGCAGGGUGAACUGGAAGGAGUGUGCAAUUACAGAAUCUGUGGGCAAAGCAUCUCGGGGCCAGAGGGACCCUGAGGGCACCGUGUAGGCCUUGAUCAGUUUAGAAUUCCUAGGAUUCUGACAUUCUCUGUUCUUUCUGGACUCAGGCAUCCAAGGUCACCUCAUUAUGGCUCGCUCUGUGUGAAGACAGUACCCCAAAGGGGCCAUCGAUUUGGAAUAUCUGAUCAGCUUUCUGAGUCAGAUCCACUAGCUCGUAAAAUCCAAUAAAUGUCAAAGAUCUGUCAGGCCCAUUAACCUCUGGAGGUCUAUUAAAAGGCUGCUUUAGCUAA